CAAGAAAUUUUACCUAAAUAUUGAGAAACAUGUAUUCAUUUCCUAAUGCAUUAUGGGUAGAGGUGGUUUCGUUUGGCAUCUGGCUGAUGCAUUCUGGGUAUCCUUGUUUCAGAAAUUGUCAAACUCUGUAGUGGACAAUGACAAGACUCGUGCAGCAUAUAAAAAGGUCAUGGAGGAGAAUGGUGUAAAAGACCCGAACUCUAUGGACAAAAAUUACUGGAUACAGCGAGUUGGAGAGCUAUAGACAGAAUUUCGUCUCUAAGUAUGUUGUCCACCAUUAUGUUUAGUUUACGUUUCUGCUUUAAACUUCUGAAACUGUAAAAUCUUGGUAUUUAUUUGGCACAAAAAAAAUGAUGGGAGUCGAUUUUGGGAUAUGUUAGAAA